rnacentral:rRNA from 1 species
CCUACGGGAGGCAGCAGUGGGGGAUAUUGCACAAUGGAGGAAACUCUGAUGCAGCGACGCCGCGUGAGGGAAGACGGUCUUCGGAUUGUAAACCUCUGUCUGUGGGGAAGAAAAUGACGGUACCCAAAGAGGAAGCUCCGGCCAACGACGUGCCAGCAGCCGCGGGAAUACGUAGGGAGCGAGCGUUGUCCGGAAUGACUGGGUGUAAAGGGAGCGUAGGCGGGCGGGAAAGUGGAAUGUUAAAUCUACCGGCUUAACUGGUAGCUGCUUUCAAAACUUCUUGUCUUGAGUGUAGUAGAGGCAGGCUGAAUUCCUAGUGUAGCGGUGAAAUGCGUAGAUAUUAGGCG